ACUAUCUAGGCCAGUAUAUAAUGGUGAAGCAGCUCUAUGAUCAACAGGAGCAACAUCUGGUGUACUGUGGUGGAGACCUUUUGGGAGAUCUACUUGGAUGUCAGAGCUUUUCUGUGAAAGAUCCAAGCCCUCUGUAUGACAUGCUAAGAAAGAACCUUGUUACGUCAGCCUCUGUUAACACAGGUAUGUUAUAUGUUUCUUCAGUUUGUAUUGAAGCUUUGAGUUUAAGGAAGCAAAUGAUGGGAACCAGGGUCAAGAUGAAAUGGAGUGCUGUCUAUGACAUGACUGCAGGGAUGUUGGUAUGACUGUUUGUCAUACAGCAUGGUAUUACUGUUAAGUAAAUUCUCACUGAUGAACUCAGUCAUACUGAAGCUUAGAGAGGAGCGAUGUCUAUAUCCUAGAUGGGAUGUUUUUCUUUAUACAGCAUAAG
rnacentral:lncRNA from 1 species